CCAGGUUCAAGCAAUUCUCCUGCCUCAGCCUCCUGAGUAGCUGGGAUUACAGUUGCCCACCACCAUGCCCAGCUUCGCCGUCCAAGAGCCUGGGGCCGUGGGGGGCGGGGCUGCCUGCUAUCGGCCCCGCCCCGCCGACAGGACCCGCCUCUCUCCCCAGGCCCGGCGGGGCCGACCCCGCCUCUCGCUCCCAGCUUGCCGUACGACAGCGGCGGCGCGGCGGGCGGAGCCGGGAGGCGGGGAAGCAGUGGCCGUGUGAGCGUGAGGAGCUGCCGCCACCGCCUGCUCCUCGUCCUCCUCGUCCUCCGGGGCCCCAGCGUCGUGGGCCGCGCACGGCCCUGGAAGAGACGUCGCCUCGCCUUCAUCCGCCUCUCUCACCGCGCCGCUCCCUCGUCCUGCCCUGCGGGCUCAGGCGGAACCCGGAACGGCCGUCCUCUUCCCCCGCCCUCCGCCGCCGCCUCCUCCUCCUCCUUCUCGGCUUCCUCCUCAGCCCCGGGCCGGAGCGGGGUGUCGGCGGCGGCCGGUUCGGGCGGCGGCGCUUGGCCAUGUCGUGUCGGGGAAGGUAAUGAGCCGCAGAGCCCCGGGGUCUCGGCUGAGCAGCGGCGGCACCAACUAUUCGCGGAGCUGGAAUGACUGGCAACCCAGAUUGACUUGAUGCAAAACAUCACAAAGGCUCCAUGUUAUACAGUAUGCG
rnacentral:lncRNA from 1 species